rnacentral:lncRNA from 1 species
AAUGGAUCGGAGUGUUCAAAUGAUGAAAUGCUUCGGCUUUCUAUUAAGAGAUCAAAGAUUAUCGAAUCUGAAUUUCAGAAAAAAAUUCAGAAAAUUUAUAUAAGAUUCGGAUCAGUUCUUUACAGUCCAGCUUUCCCCAUCCAUGAUAGGAUCACUAUUAUGGAUGUAUCAGCUCAUAGUUGGGCUUUGAAUGGCUCUGCCACUUACAUAAUGAUUGAAAAGUGGUAUUAAAGAUUAUUUAAAAAUAUAUAAAACAACGACAAAGUUACUUCAAUAAUUAACACUAUCUAUUAUACUAUAA